GCAUAUUAUACACCGAAUACCAGACAUGUCUCUUUAUCAUUAUUUCCAUUCACUGCCAUCAUGCUAUUCAUGUCGCAAUUGAGGCAAAAUAGCGGAAAUGCUGACUACGUCAACUGCAGAGGAGUGAACCUGGCGACUCCAAUAUCUUCAAGUUCAUCAAUUAAAACGAUCUAGAAGUCUGUUAAGUCAAUGUCCGAGCGAGAUACGAUGUCCAGAUCUGUUUAUUACAUUAGAGGUCUUGUGUGAAGUGCUGUCUGUCUGAUAUUCAUAACGGUUUAAUUAUUAUUGUAAAGCUCGUCAAGCCAUUAAAUGCUUGAUAUCUACGUAAAGGUUUACACCUUAUAUCUCAAUACAUUAAUGUAAAUGUCAAAUUGGAGUAAAAUCAUGGAGAACUUGAAAA